ACCUGUCCUUCGGGACAGGGGACAGCGGCGAACGGGUGAGUAACACGUAGGUAAUCAACCCCUGGCUCCGGGAUAGCCCGAGGAAACUCGGAUUAAUACCGGAUGGCCCAACAGCUCUUCGGGGCGGUUGGAAAAGGUAGCUUCGGCCUCCGGCCAAGGACGAGCCCGCGGCGGAUUAGCUAGUUGGUGAGGUAAUGGCUCACCAAGGCGACGAUCCGUAGCUGGUCUGAGAGGACGAUCAGCCACACUGGGACUGAGACACGGCCCAGACUCCUACGGGAGGCAGCAGUGGGGAAUCUUGCACAAUGGGCGCAAGCCUGAUGCAGCGACGCCGCGUGAGGGAAGAAGGCUUUCGGG
rnacentral:rRNA from 1 species